rnacentral:rRNA from 1 species
CCUACGUGAGGCAGCAGUGAGGAAUAUUGGUCAAUGGGCGCGAGCCUGAACCAGCCAAGUAGCGUGAAGGAUGACUGCCCUACGGGUUGUAAACUUCUUUUAUAAAGGAAUAAAGUGAGGCACGUGUGCCUUUUUGUAUGUACUUUAUGAAUAAGGAUCGGCUAACUCCGUGCCAGCAGCCGCGGUAAUACGGAGGAUCCGAGCGUUAUCCGGAUUUAUUGGGUUUAAAGGGAGCGUAGAUGGGUUGUUAAGUUAGUUGUGAAAGUUUGCGGCUCAACCAUAAAAUUGCAAUUGAUACUGGCAGUCUUGAGUACAGUUGAGGUAGGCGGAAUUCGUGGUGUAGCGGUGAAAUGCUUAGAUAUCACGAAGAACUCCGAUUGCGAAGGCAGCUUACUAAACUGCCACUGACAUUGAUGCUCGAAAGUGUGGGUAUCAAACAGGAUUAGAUACCCUAGUAGUC